CAAGAGAAAAGAAGGCUGCAACUUGGUGCUGGAGAUGCACAUGUUGUUUAUCAAUAUUUUCUUCGUAUGCAAUCAAAAGAUCCAGACUUUUUCCAUGUUAUGGAUGUGGCUGAGGAUGGACGUCUGAGAAAUGUCUUUUGGGCAGAUGCAAGAAGCAGGGCUGCAUAUGAGUCUUAUUGGGAUGCCAUCACAUUUGACACUACAUACUUAACAAACAAGUAUAAAAUGAAGGAUAUGAGGCUGGAAGUUUUUUGUUCUUUCCAAAUGAGUUCCAGGAGCUACAAACAAAUGAACCUGCUACACCAACUCAUAUCAUGUCUUACAUUGAUAUUCUCCAGGGAAAGAAAGAUGCCAUGGACUUGCUCGCUGCUAACCUGAAUGGAUGAAAGGAGUCUGGAGUACUUCAGAAUGUAACUGCAGUUUUAGCCUUGAAAUUGUAGUGAGGUUAUAUGGAUAAUUCUGGUAAAAAAUGACCGGAGCUCUGUGAUGAUGCUGAUUUAGUUUUUGUUAAAUGAUUGAAAGAAAGUACCUUCUGUAUGAGAUGCAUAUUUUGUGGCUGGAUGUUGUUUGUCACAAUCUAAACUCUAGACAAACAUAUUUUGAGAGCCAUCUGUUUAUUGCAAACUCUAUUCUCUUUGUUCAACAACAGCUCUGUAUUCUGAAAGUGUUCUGAAAUCUCAUAUUCAACUAUUACUAGUUUUGGUGAAGCUACAAUAGAGAGC